rnacentral:piRNA from 1 species
GCAGAAGACUAGUUACACUUAAUGGGCCAA